rnacentral:rRNA from 1 species
AUGAAGAAAAAUCUUCAGUUGUCUCAAACCAAAGAGAAGAUGGUGAGUGCUGAUGCUGAAAUAAAUAUGGUCAAGGAAGUUGUGCUUCAAACUGAUAUGCCAACUAUAGUGAGCAGAGAGCCAACCACCAUCACAGGAGUUCAACAGAUCAAGGGGAAGACUCCCCUUUCAAUAGUUCCACCAAAACCACCUAAGCAGCAAACGAUUGUCAAGUUUGCCAGUGGCACAAAGGGGGAACAUGCCACAAAAGAUUUGGGGUUCAGAGACGAGAGAGAACUGCGUGCCGCAGCCAUUGAUGCAUGGGUGCCAAGUUCUGCUAGGUUGCUGCCAACUCAGACUGGAAAGAUGCCAACUACAGAUACCAGUGUGCCAACUGAUGUGUCAGUUAGCAGCGUGGUCACAAUCAAAACCACCACAGCUGCUCAGGAAGGCACCACUGCAACUGCAAGCCCCAAGGUGCCUACUCGUAGAGAUGCUUCAAUUCCGAACACAAAAGGAGGUGAUCCAACUACCAAAGUGCCAUCGCCAAGAGCUAGCACACAGCAGCCAAGCAAGCCUGCAUCACCAAGAGCUGACUUUCAGCAACCAUUAACACAAGAGGAGGUGUUCAACAUUAUAAGUAGGUGCAAGCCUCCAAGGCCGCCAACUACAACACUUUUGUGA